rnacentral:misc_RNA from 1 species
GUGAAUAUUAAGUACCAUAAUGUGUGUAGGGAGGAAUAUAAUGUUUUUGUUAUAAGAUAAAAGGUUGUUGGUGUUUAUGGGGGGGUCUAGAAAAUCUCUUGCUUUUAUUUGUUGUCCCUCCAAUUUUUAGUUUUAGUGACUCAUUAGGGUUAUAAGUCCGUUUUACUUAAUUUAGUAGUUAGUUCCUUUUUUCUUCCCCAU